CAUACUUGUUAAUAGUUCUUAGCUUACUGCAAAGUUUACCAACUUUGAAGUACUGGUUAUGUCAGCCGGUGUCGCCGCACGUGUAGUAACUAAAGCAACAUUGCCAGAUUGUUCCGAGCUCUAGUUUAAAUAAAUAUUAUAGGACAUUAUUACACAAAUUGAAAAAGUCCCACGGUAAGUUCAAUAAGGCUUGUGUUGUGGGUACUUAGACAACCUGAAUAUAUAGUUAUAUAUAUGUAUUUAUAAAUACUUAAAUACAUAGAAAACACCCAUGACUCAGGAACAAAUAUCUGUGUUCAUCACACAAAUAAAUGCCCUUACCGGGAUUCGAACCCUGGACCAUCAGCUUCACGGGCAGGGUCACUACCCACUAGGCCAGACCGGCCGCCA